UGGGAGGGCGACAGAGACAGAAGGAUUAGAGAUUGCUUUUUGCCAAAAUCUGGAGCGCAGGUCAAAAUUCCCGGCGUCACGACUCUGCUGUCAACAGGUGGCUGAAACUACUUUACUUCCCAUAAAGGCAAAGGAAUACCUUCGAGUACAGGAACUGUGAUCAGAGAUCUUCAUGGUACAUGGCAUUUGGUCAUCACAAAACUGUCAAGUCAGCACCCAACUUUGUUUUGAUAAGCUGAAGAAAUCAAACUCUUUGAGACUUUCAUUUUAAGACAUUUUCUCCUGUUUUCAGAAAGUCAUGGAGCAAACUUGGAUAUCAGACCUCUGACUAUCUACUUGGCUUGCUCACUGGCACCCUGAGAGACAAGGCUUGAUGCAGAUUUCUGAUGUGAUUUGGCAGGUUCUGCGAAAAUAACUGCAAGAGUUGCUGCUUUGUUGCUUGUCACAC